rnacentral:lncRNA from 9 species
UGCGGUAAUAUACACUGAAAUAAAAUAUACACAUUUUAUAAAUAUUAAAAUAUGUAAAUGACCACAGCUUUGUAUUGUUCUUUCCAACAUACUCUUCUUGACUUACUGCACCAGCCAACACUGUAUUAAAUAGAGUCAGAUUCGUUUCCGCUGAGCCACGACAGGAACUCCAUAAUUUAAUUAAAUUUUGAUCAGGGAACAUGACCUGUAUGACAUUAUGUCUCUGACAUUAUUCCUUGAGAUUUAUUCUGUAGUUUUAUCCACGGUCAAUUUUUAUAGAUAAUGUAUGCUUGGAAAGAAUUGUUUUCUAGUUACUGAUGAUAAUAUAGUUAUGUCAACUUCCAGUUUUUAUGUUUAUACUAUUUACCUUUUACACAUCUUUCAGACAUGAGUAAAAUAUAAUUUCCAGUCAAGAUUUUAAUUUCUGAUACUGUUUUGUGCGUGUGUGUGUGUGUGUGUGUGUGUGUUAAAACACCUAACACACUUGGGAGAAAAAAGGACCCAAUUAUUCCGUCCAAAAGACUCUCCAUUACUCGGCCAGGUCAUUUUCUGGUAUUCGAGAAAGGAUCCUCAUUUGCAAGGUUUUUAAAGCCUGAAUUUGUUGUAACUGUAGAGGAGAAAUUAAAGCAGGAAGUUAGAUUUGCGUCUUGAUGCUGGUUUUACAAAGUUCAUUGAGAAUUUUUUUUUAUUUUUGGUAAAUUAGGAAGCAUAGUUUCAAUUCUGUCUUUUACUAUGAAUUAGACAAUUUCCUAAGUCGCCCUUUCUGAGAAGUAGAACCGACGGACGCACCUCGAUUAGGAUUUUUCUGCAGCGCUCAUGCCUCGGGGGAUCUUGGGCCGAGGAAGGCUGCUGGAUCUCGCCUGCGACUUUUGGGAGGUCGGGAACCGUCCUUUCAUUGCUUUGCGGUGGACACACCGUUAUCUCAUCUCUGGGACCUACCUUCCUGGAGAUUUCACCCACACUGGACUUCCUCUUUCCUUGUACGGAAACUACUCUUCAUAGGACCCUAAUAAGCAAAAGGGACAAGUUCUUAGCUCAGCUGAGGGAGUCCCACCACAACAUCACAUUUUUGCACGCCAUCUUUCGGAUUUAUCUUUGUGUGGUCACUGGUCGCACCACAUGUUUGGGCACUAUAUAACACUAUACCAAAGAACACGCAAAAUACAAAUUUUAAAAUAAUCAGACGAACUCUAAAUUUUUUUCCGUCCAAAGGUUCUCUGAUUUUAAGUUCUUCCCUUUUUUUUUUUUUUCCCUAAGAGUUUAUCUAAACUAACAACUAUAGACGGACACUUCAGGUGCAUCCAACAAGUCCUUUCUUUCUCUCAGAAGAGUUAACCCCAGGGAGCAAUGAAAAAGGAUCCAGAUUUACUCCAUUUCGCCAGCUGCCCUUUGCGGCUGGCUGUUCCAUCCAGUGGUCUCUCUGGCCAUCCGCUAAGCAGGCGCUCCCUCUGUGGUUCAGAGAAGACGGAAAGAAGCAAUUCUAGUCAAUUGAUGGUUAUGAGUUUGUGUCAGUGGACUGCGGUUCUAUGUUGGUACCAUGUGCAGAGUAUUACAUUAAAAAAAAUCAGAUUCUAGGGAAGUCGUGCGGUACUAAAACUUAAUUUUUAUUCAGGGGUUCACAACUCAAAGCUCAGGUGAGUAUGAAGUAGGUAGCAGCACUGGUCAAGACAGAGUUCUCUAGGGGUUCCCUGAUGGCCUAGAGAUUAAGGACUCAGCGUUGUCACUGUUGUGGCUUGGGUUGUGACCCAAGGAACUCUGGAUGUAGGGGGAGCGGCCAAUAAAUAAAUAAAUAAAUAACAAGUUACCCUAAAAAAAUAGAGUUAUCUGGCUGACAGUCUGUGGGGCACACGUGCUCUUUUUAGGCACAUGUCCUGGUGGGCAGUAGAUUGGGAGACAUUCUGGUCCAAGCACGAGUGCCAGAGGUUUAGCUGAUCCCAGGGCACCCCCACACUUAAAUCUGUGCAUCACCAAAGAUCCCCUGGUGUCCUCCUGGAGAUUUACCUGCCACUGGUCACUGAUGGUCCAAGGCCAGGAGGUUCUAGGUAUGGGAAGGAGGUGUGACGUUUCCAAGGGAAACUUCUACUUCUUUGGAGAAACACAAUAGUUUAGUUAAAAACAGCAUAGAAUUGAGAGUCAGAAGGUCUGAUGUGUCGUCUUUGCAUCAGUCAAGGUUCUCCAGAGAAUCAGAACUAAUAUCUAGGCAUAGAAACUAAGGAAUUGGCUUCCAUGAUUAGGGAGGCUGGGGGCUCAGAAAGGUUAACGCCGAGGGUGUCAGCGCUUUCUCCAGACCAGGAAGCAUCUGCCCUCAGCGCCCAGCUGAGCUGUAGUGGAGAAUAUGCCAGAUUGUGCUUAAAUUGGACAGUGGUCAAUUUCAAAGUAUGAGCAGGCAUUGCUAAACUAGAGAGGGUCUCUUUUUGACCCAUAAAGUCUAGGAAUUAGCCUCACCCCUCAUUUGUGAAUUAAAUAAAGUCUGGAUGUCCCAUAGCUCUUCUUGUCCCUGAAGAAGAGAUGCGAUUAUCUCUUUCAGCUUCUGCUUUCAGUUUCGCUCUGAUCGUUAUCUCUUUGAAAAGUGUCUUUAGUCACCACUCCACCUUACAAAUUAAACACAAUUUGUAAAAUAAAUCUCAAAAAAAAAAAAAAA